GACGUAGGGGGCAAGCGUUGUCCGGAAUUAUUGGGCGUAAAGAGCUCGUAGGCGGCCUGUUGCGUCCGCUGUGAAAUCCCGGGGCUCAACCCCGGGCGUGCAGUGGAUACGGGCUGGCUGGAGGCAGGCAGGGGAGAACGGAAUUCCUGGUGUAGGCGGUGAAAUGCGCAGAGUAUCAGGAGGAACACCGGUGGCGAAGGCGGUUCUCUGGGCCUGUACUGACGCUGAGGAGCGAAAGCGUGGGGAGCGAACAGG
rnacentral:rRNA from 1 species